UAAAACGUGAAGGAUAACGUUGCGUCAGCAACGGCCCGUAGGGCGAGGCGAAGCCGAGUCAUCCUGCACGACCCAUCA
rnacentral:sRNA from 1 species